GGUCGUACGAGUUGCUACGAUGUGUUUGUUUGAUCGUGUUUUUGCGUUUGCUGUAAUGAAUUGUGACUUAGUUCGCGUGCACAAAAGUGCCAGAAGAUAGCUUGUGUCUCGCUGCAAACUCGUGGUAUGCGUGGUGCGCCAGGCAAACGUGGACCAACGAUUUUCAUGCCAUGGAGUGCGUUCCCUUUGUCCGCGGUGGUUGUGGAGAGUUUGGUGGACGCCGCAAAGAAAUGAUGCGCAUUAUUAGCGUUCCGCAGGACGUCCACUACGCAACUGCAUGUAUGCGGGAAUAACUUUGCAGCUCCGGCAACUUGGAGGGCGCUAUUCGACCGCAUCGUACCAUUUAAAAGUGGCAAGGCCGUGACCAACAACAGUGUCCACGUCAGGGAGGAGCUAUGGCUGCAGCAGCACUGUGUGUAAUCGGAUGGUCUGGUCAGGUACAGAUUGGUGUGGGAUUUGUGAUGCCACUCAACAAGUGGCAUUACAUAAUCAAGUCUGCUUCCGACGGAAAGUGCCCAUUAGAGGUGGCAUGGCACCUGUGGACACCAGUGCAAGCAGGUGAAAGCAGCCUGUUUGGACAGGCCUGCCGCGCAUCUGGGAAGCUUCCGGCAAACCGGAGAAAGUGGCUGCUUUGAAGAGCUCUGUUGCUGUCAGCGCAAGGUUCAUCGCCUGCAACCACGCUAACGCCGGUAUCGACAACACCAAGCAUCAGCAAUCAAGCUCGGAUACUCAACGUCAUCAUCGAACCGCCUCCCUUCCCAAGCCAUGGAUUCGUGACGUCACCGGCCAUUACCCCUAUAAAGACUGUCCCGCACCCGAGGAUCUUCAGUGGGCACGGCGAAAGCGCUUGGCGCAGGUCGUUCACCAUGCACCUCAUCUUCUUUGUACAGGCUCUGUUGCUGUCAGCGAGGCGGCGCCUGCAAGCUGGGAACUUCGUAAACCCGGUCUGGGCAUACCAUGUUAUGCAUGACAGAGAAACCGAUAAGUGCAAACACUGUGGGGCGAGAGGGACCCUCGAUCACAUAAUCUGGGAAUGCGCUAGCUCACCAGGGGCUAAAGCAAACAUAAAUUGUAGAGAGGCCUGGGAAGCCCUGCUGCGGAGCGAGGACCCUACUCCACAGCAACACGCCAUCCGCCUGGCGGAAGAAGCCGCGAAGAGUCAAGACCUCUUUGCUUGCUUCUAAUCGCGGAGGUUCCGGCCCCCGUCCCCAAGGCCUGUGUGCCGGGGACGGGGAGUAGGGGCCUCCUUAUCCGGCGGUACAAUAAAGUUGCUAUCAUCAUCAUCCCCUAUAAAGACUGUCCCGCACCCGAGGAUCUUCAGUGGGCACGGCGAAAGCGCUUGGCGCAGGUCGUUCACCAUGCGCCUCAUCUUCUUUGUACAGGUCGGUCACAACUGUUCGUUUCGUAGUGACAAUAGGUUUUUAGUUGUUCUGCCGUGCCCUCAACUUUGUAUAAGUAUAGCCUAUGAUUGCUUUUGCUCCUGCAAACUGAUGUUGUGUGGCGAUGUUGAGGAAAAUCCUGGACCAACAGUUGAAGAAAUGUUUCAAUCCUUGAUAGAAGGACAACAGGAAAUAAGAAAUGAUAUCGCGGACUUGAAAAUGCGCCUUGAAAAUACAGAAAAAGCGGUUGAUUGUUUUGACAAACGUUUGACUCAGUUGGAAGAUUACGAGCACAGCUGCUACCUUGGUCACAACUGUAUGUAAAAUGGAAGAGAUACUAAAAUCACAGAAAGCCAAGAUGAUCGACGUAGAAGAUCGAAGUAGGCGAUCAAAUCUGAUAGUUUUUGGCGUUCCGGAAAUUCCCAAUGAAACUUUGUCGCUCUUACGUGACAAGAUUAUAAACGACGUAUUUCUGAAUAAAUUGGGCUUGAGCUGUUCGUCGGUGGCAAGAAUACAUAGGCUUGGGAGGAGUUCAGAUGGCAAGCCGAUUAUCGUGUAUUUCCAGGACUACACGGAAAAACAUUCAGUCAUGCAGAACGCAUUUAAACUAAAAGGUUCAAACAUUUCUAUUCAGAAUGAUUACUGCGCUGACACGCGGCGCAAACGCAAACUACUUUGGACUAGUGCGAAGGCAGACAAAGAUAGCGGAAAAAAAGUUCAGCUGAUUCACGAUAAGCUGCGAAUUGAUGACCAGUAUUUUUCUUGGGAUGAUGCCUCCAACACCCGUAAACAGAUUUCUGGAACUGAUAGUACACCGAGCCGCAAACAAAAUUAUAGAACGAACAGCUCAACGCCAGAAAGCUAGCUAUUGCAGGCGCACCAGCUCCGGCUUCUCUCAUUCAAUGCCAGAAGUAUUGUAAAUAAAACAGAUGAGCUGGAAGAUUUGCUUUUAUUAUAUGAUCCCCAUGUCUGCAUCAUUUCGGAAACUUGGUUGCACGAAGCCAUCCGCGAUGACGAAAUAGUUCCGCCGAACUAUCAUCUGUACAGAAAAGACAGGGUUUCUCGCGGUGGCGGUAUUGCAGUCAGAACAAAAUCCAGUGUUCAUGUAACGAUUGCAGAUCAAAUCAAGGAACAUGAAAGUUUACUCUUGAAGGUAUCUAUCUGGGGAAUGUCGUUCUUUUUGUGCUCUGU